rnacentral:rRNA from 1 species
UACAGAGGUCUCAAGCGUUGUUCGGAUUCAUUGGGCGUAAAGGGUGCGUAGGUGGCGCGGUAAGUCGGGUGUGAAAUCUCGGAGCUUAACUCCGAAAUUGCAUUCGAUACUGCCGUGCUCGAGGACUGGAGAGGAGACUGGAAUCAUGGUGUAGCAGUGAAAUGCGUAGAGAUCAUGAGGAAGACCAGUGGCGAAGGCGGGUCUCUGGACAGUUCCUGACACUGAGGCACGAAGGCCAGGGGAGCAAACGGG